rnacentral:rRNA from 1 species
UACGUAGGGCGCAAGCGUUAGGCGGAAUCACUGGGCUUAAAGCGUGUGUAGGCGGAUCGUUAAGUACCUUGUGAAAUCCCACGGCUCAACCGUGGAACUGCUGGGUAUACUGGCGAUCUUGAGCCACCUAGGGGCGAGCGGAACAAGCGGUGGAGCGGUGAAAUGCGUAGAUAUCGCUUGGAACGCCAAUGGUGAAAACAGCUCGCUGGGGGUGUGCUGACGCUGAGACACGAAAGCCAGGGGAGCGAACGGG